AGUGAACGCUGGCGGUAGGCCUAACACAUGCAAGUCGAACGGCAGCACAGGAGAGCUUGCUCUCUGGGUGGCGAGUGGCGGACGGGUGAGGAAUACAUCGGAAUCUACUCUGUCGUGGGGGAUAACGUAGGGAAACUUACGCUAAUACCGCAUACGACCUACGGGUGAAAGCAGGGGACCUUCGGGCCUUGCGCGAUUGAAUGAGCCGAUGUCGGAUUAGCUAGUUGGCGGGGUAAAGGCCCACCAAGGCGACAACCCGUAGCUGGUCGGAGAGGAUGAUCAGCCACACUGGAACUGAGACACGGUCAAGCCUCCUCGGGGAGGCAGCAGGGGGGAAUAUUGGACAAUGGGCGCAAGCCUGAUCCAGCCAUCCCGCGUGGGUGAAGAAGGCCUUCGGGUUGUAAAGCCCUUUUUUUGGGAAAGAAAUCCAGCUGGCUAAUACCCGGUUGGGAUGACGGUACCCAAAGAAUAAGCACCGGCUAACUUCGUGCCAGCCGCCGCGGUAA
rnacentral:rRNA from 1 species